rnacentral:rRNA from 1 species
UACAGAGGCCUCGAGCGUUAAUCGGAAUCACUGGGCUUAAAGGGUGCGUAGGCGGCGCUGUAAGUGCCUUGUGAAAUCCCCGGGCUUAACUCGGGAAUUGCUCGGUAGACUGCAGUGCUUGAGGUCGGUAGGGGCUGCCGGAACAGUAGGUGGAGCGGUGAAAUGCGUAGAUAUCUACUGGAACGCCAAAGGCGAAGGCAAGCAGCUGGGCCGAUUCUGACGCUGAGGCACGAAAGCGUGGGGAGCAAACGGG